UUUUUUUUCUAAUGUGAUAUUUUUAUGCGGAUGUCGUGAAUCCCCCUAUGCGGUGGGGCUAAUCAACUAUUUUCCUUCAAUGUUAUAAAGCACGCGUACCAAGGUUAGUUGGCCAACGGUUCACUGGGAGGCACCCAGCACUACAACAUCAAAUACUUAAGCCCCAAUCUUGAUCGGUUGGGGCUUUUU
rnacentral:sRNA from 1 species